AUUGAACGCUGGCGGCAUGCCUUACACAUGCAAGUCGAACGGCAGCACGGGUGCUUGCACCUGGUGGCGAGUGGCGAACGGGUGAGUAAUACAUUGGAACAUGUACUGUAGUGGGGGACAGCCCGGUGAAAGCUGGUUUAAUACCGCAUAUGAUCUCCGGAUGAAAGCGGGGGAACAUCGGCCCUGGCGCUAUAUGGUUGGCCGAUGGAUGAUUAGCUAGUUGAUGGGGUAACGUCCUACCAAGGCGAGGAUCAGUAGCUGGUCUGAGAGGACGACCAGCCACACUGGAACUGAGACACGGCCCAGACUCCUACGGGAGGCAGCGGUGGGGAAUUUUGGACAAUGGGCGAAAGCCUGAUCCAGCAAUGCCGCGUGUGUGAAGAAGGCCUUCGGGUUGUAAAGCACUUUUGUCCGGAAAGAAAUACUUGGCCCUAAUACGGUCGGGGGAUGACGGUACCGGAAGAAUAAGCACCGGCUAACUACGUG
rnacentral:rRNA from 1 species